rnacentral:rRNA from 1 species
CGUGAAUAAUCUGCCUUCGAGACUGGGAUAACUUGACGAAAGUUAAGCUAAUACCGGAUAAGACCACGCUUCAUAAGUAGUGCGGCAAAAGGGAUCUCAAAUCCUGCUUGAAGAUGAGUUCGCGUACCAUUAGCUUGUUGGUGAGAUAACAGCUCACCAAGGCGACGAUGGUUAGCCGGCCUGAGAGGGUGAUCGGCCACACUGGAACUGAGACACGGUCCAG